rnacentral:rRNA from 1 species
UACGUAGGGUGCAAGCGUUGUCCGGAAUUAUUGGGCGUAAAGAGCUCGUAGGCGGUCUGUCGCGUCGAAUGUGAAAACCCGGGGCUCAACUCCGGGCCUGCAUUCGAUACGGGCAGACUAGAGUUCGGUAGGGGAGUCUGGAAUUCCUGGUGUAGCGGUGAAAUGCGCAGAUAUCAGGAGGAACACCGGUGGCGAAGGCGGGACUCUGGGCCGAUACUGACGCUGAGGAGCGAAAGCGUGGGGAGCAAACAGG